rnacentral:rRNA from 1 species
AUUGAACGCUGGCGGCAGGCCUAACACAUGCAAGUCGAGUGGAUGAAGAGAGCUUGCUCUCUGAUUUAGCGGCGGACGGGUGAGUAAUGCCUAGGAAUCUGCCUGGUAGUGGGGGACAACGUUUCGAAAGGAACGCUAAUACCGCAUACGUCCUACGGGAGAAAGUGGGGGAUCUUCGGACCUCACGCUAUCAGAUGAGCCUAGGUACGAUUAGCUAGUUGGUGAGGUAAAGGCUCACCAAGGCGACGAUCGUUAACUGGUCUGAGAGGAUGAUCAGUCACACUGGAACUGAGACACGGACCAGACUCCUACGGGAGGCAGCAGUGGGGAAUAUUGGACAAUGGGCGAAAGCCUGAUCCAGCCAUGCCGCGUGUGUGAAGAAGGCCUUCGGAUUGUAAAGCACUUUAAGUUGGGAGGAAGGGCAGUAAGUUAAUACCUUGCUGUUUUGACGUUACCGACAGAAUAAGCACCGGCUAACUUCGUGCCAGCCGCCGCGGUAAAAC